UACGGAGGGUGCAAGCGUUAAUCGGAAUUACUGGGUGUAAAGCGCACGCAGGCGGUUUGUUAAGUCAGAUGUGAAAUCCCCAGGCUCAACCUGGGAACUGCAUCUGAUACUGGCAAGCUUGAGUCCCGUUGAAGUGGGUAGAAUUCCAGGUGUAGCGGUGAAAUGCGUAGAUAUCUGGAGGAAUACCGGUGGCGAAGGCGGCCCCCUGGACGAAGACUGACGCUGAGGUGCGAAAGCGUGGGGAGCAAACAGG
rnacentral:rRNA from 1 species